AACAGAGAGAGAGAACCCAAGAUGGAAGCCACCAUCUUUUUGGAACCUGAUCUCCGGAUGCGGCAUAGCAUCACUUCCACAGUGGGUCCCACAGUCCCAAUGCCAGGAGGGGUGGAGGUGACAGGAGCCACUGUCGAGGCUGCAGACCCCAAGGUCUCCGAGAUGCCUGAGGGGAAAUGGCGCACUGGCUGUUGGGUACACCGUGCCGAGCUCCCAGGAGCGCUGUGGGCUACAGGUAGUUAUGUGGCAAUCUGUACAGCUGCUGGAAAUGUACAAGAAGACCCAGGGAGAGAAUACAGAUACAGGAGGAAGAGGACCCUGGACCCAGUCCGGAAGAGCCCAACUUUUAGAGGUCAGUGGAGGUGGAGCCAGCAAAGGGACGUGGCCGUUGAGGCAUGAGGAGAACCCGGACUGUGUGUAUUCUGGGGGUGACUUAACUCAAAGGUAGGUUUCACUGGACAAAUUUCCCUUCCCUGUAAAGGGCAGAAAAUACUUUGAAUAUGGCUGAAGUGAAAAGAUUUUCUGAAAGAAUGCCGUUUAAUAUGACUGGAAGUGUGAGUAGUUAAAUUUUGACCCAGACAGGAGCAAAGAACAGGAAACACAUAUACAGGUGGAACAUUUAGUCUCAAAAAGUCCACGCCCAUGUACCUAGUGCCCUGUAAGUCUGGGGCCUGGCCACGGGUCCCUGGGAUUAUAGUAGGUAGAGGACCAAUAUGGCUUUUAGCAGUUGUGCUUAGAGUUAAGCUUGAAGACAAAAUAAUUAACUGCAUAGCAUGGGAAGAGCUGCUGACCUUGGAAAAUAUCCAUCUUUGCUUCCACAUGCCUUAUAGUUUUAAUUUAUGAGGAGUCUCUGUCCCCAAAUGUCUUAAAUACCCCAGUGGAUUCUACAGUGACAACAGUGAGCCUCUGUGGUUAAGCUGCAUCCUAUUCAGUUGUCCCGUGAACUUCACUCUUAAUAGGAAGACCCGAGACGGUUGUUAAAUAUGUUUUUCAUAUACCACGUGUGGCAUCCUUCCUGUUUUCUGUAGCUGCUCUUUAGAUUAUAUUUUCAAUGGCCCAGGUUUUAUAAAAAGCCUUCUCAUUCAUAGACAUCCCACCCUUGCUUAAAAAAACAAAAAAAGAGAGAGAGAGAGAAGAAAAAUAAAAUACCUGCUCCCACCUGGCCACCUGGCACAAACUGGCUGUCUGGUUCUGACUACCUGUUCCAUGAAACAGUAUCUGCCUCUACCUGCUCAGCAUGGGAGUCAUGAGUGUUCGGCAUCUCUCAGUCCCCUCCUAAUCAGGCAUGGCCAUGUGACUUGCUUUGGGCAAUGAACUACAGGGGGAAUGACACGUGUUACUUGCAGGUGGAAGCUUUAAAAGCCAGUGAGACAGUUAUAAAACAGUCGCGGGGACGUAAAGUACAGCACGGGGAACACAGUCGAUAAUAGUGUAACGACCGCGUAUGGUGCCAGGUGGGUACUAGGCGAUUCAGGGGAUCGCUUUGUGAAUUACGUAAAUGUCUAACCACUAUGCUGUACACCUGAAACUAAUAUAAAAUAAUAUUGAACAUCAGCUGUAAUUGGGGGAAAAAAAAAAAGAAAGCCAG